GCGUCGUAUAAAAGAAAGAAAGUUAGCCAUCUCCUUGACGGGGAUGAAAAAGGCCAUUGGGCCUGUGUGACACACCUACAGCUAAGGCAUUGCCACCUGCUUGGUGACAUCUCAACAUGGUUUU
ensembl:snRNA